CUCACAUGGUAUUACGCAACCCUUCUUAUAUCUAAUUUUGGCUAUCAUCAGAAAUAAGGUUACACUGAGCAUAAUAGUUUGGACCAUAAAUUUGGGAUGUGAAGAAGCCACCCUGACGACGUUCGUCAGGACCUAAUUGACCUCCGCACUAUCAUUCAAUGAAAUAAUAGUUUUGCAUGAAUAGUCUUUUAGUUCAUUUUUUAAGUAACACACAUUCCGAAAAGUUUUUUUUUGUAAUUUUUCAGAACAUAUUCAAAAAAUUGGAUUAUUUUUUUAUGACGAUCAAUUUUCUUGGAAAAGUAUAUUUCAAUUAUAUUUUUUUAGCAUAACAGUUUGGACCAUAAAUUUCGGACAUGAAGAAGCCACCCUGACGACGUUCGUCACGACCUAAUUCACCUCCGCAUUAUCAUCCGAUGAAAUAUAGUUUUGCAUGAAUAGUCUUUUAGUUGAUUUUUUAGUAAAACACAUUCUGAAAAGUUUUUUUGUAAUUUUUCAGAACAUAUUCAAAAAAUUAAUCAUUUUUUUGUUGACGAUCAAUUUUCUUGGAAAAGUAUAUUUCAAUUGUAUUUAUUUUUGCAUUGUUUUUUGGCUUGGCCCAAGCAAAAGAAAAUAUGUCUGCUACCCCUAAAAAAAACAUAAUAUGUCUACUACUAAACAACAAAAGAGAAUUUCUCAAAAAAGAACAAAAAAGCAUUUGUAGUGUGCUUGCUACGGUGGAGCUUAUAUUCACCGAAAUCCGGCAAUGGGCACUUGCAGGAGGGAGAGUUCACCGAUAUUGUGAGUAAUCGCCUGAGUUAAACCGGAGUGGAGGGGUGUGGGAUCCCCGGUUGUGGUGAUCUCGCCAUUGUAAUAUCGUGUACAUAUACUCUUUCUUUUUCUAUAAAGCUAAGAUACGCUUUUUCGUACUUUAAAAAAAACAGAGACGUUACUCCUAAAAAAAAGAAAAGGAGACGCACGAACUCGAUAUCUCUUCCCGUUCCCCAUUUUCUCUCCUGGUGCUGGCCAAGCGGCGGCGCCGCCGCCUCCCGUCUUCUCGUCGUUCUCGGAGGAUGAGGGCACGAAGGAUGUGGCUGUACCGUCGUGCCCUCCACCUGCGCCGGCUUAUCAACGGGACCUUGCGCGGCUCCCUCUUAUUUCAGCUCCGCCCGCGCCCGCGCCACCGUCGACGGCGCGGCUUCGGCGUCCCCGGUGGCUCCUGUCCGACGCCUACAGCGCUUCCUCGCGCGGAUGCAGCGGGCUCCUGGCCGGUAGAGGAGGAGUUGGAUGCAGAUUGUUCCUCGGCGUGGUCCUGCUCGCCGCCGACGAGGCCCUGCGAGGGGCGAGGAGACGGCUCCACUGCUCCGAGCUCCUCCGACGUACUGCUGCUGGUGCCAUGGAGGACAGGGGGAGAGGGCCAUAUACGCCUAUGGUUGUCCUUAGAAGCAUGAGGUCAUUGUUGAUUCUAAAUUUGAUUUGUACAUACCUGGGUCGAUGUUUUUGACGGCAGCGGCGAUACCGGCGAGGCAAUGUGGAAAGCUGGAUUGUUAAGAAGAAUCGACCAAGGACUUGAUAUAUAUUGGAUUAAGGGGAUUGUACAUGUACUAGCACAGAUGCCCGUGCGUUGCAAUAGGAGAUUUUUUGACGUGAAUUCAAAUUUAGUGAGAAUUGUUAAAGCUUGUUCAUUUCACCAA